AAAUGAGGGUUUUUUGGACCUAAACUGAGAAGAAUUAUAGCGGAGGGAAGAUGAGAGAUGUAUUUCUUUAACUGCCAAUUAUGUCUGAUCCUGCGAGAGUACAGAAUUUUUGAUGGGUGUGUCUUCAAUUUUGUGGACCCAGGCGUUGCCCACUGCCCAGCUCCUCUGACUAUACCUGACCCAGAUGCUCAGUUUCUGUCUUUUCUGUAUUGAUCGUAGGUGGAGGAGUUACUGAUGGCCAUGGAGAAGGUAAAACAGGAGCUGGAGUCCGUGAAGGCGACGCUGUCCUGCACUCAGCAGUCACUGGCAGAGAAGGAAACUCAUGUGACCAACCUUCGGGCCGAGAGAAGAAAACACUUAGAGGAAGUUCUGGAGAUGAAUUUCAGGUUUUAGCCUCCAGCACCCUUGGUUCAAGGGUAGACGUCCCUUCAGCAGAUUUCAAUCCUCCACACAAGUUCUGGGCUUACUGGACUCCACACGGAGAAGUGAAGAAGGAAUCCUCACUACUCCUCCUGUACCUCAACUCCGCCGUUGUCAGACAGCACUGCACUUUGACCCUUCACCAUCUCAAGUAACAGCAUGCUUCUGAGAAAACAUAUCUUCCUGUCAAAAUGGAAAUGAGGUACAAAUGACACAACAACAAAAAAAAAGAUGAGGAAGGAUAACCUGAAUCAUUCCCCGACCAGGAAUCGAACCUGUGGCCCCUGCAGUGGAAGCACGGAAUCCUAACGACUGGACCGCCAGGGAAUUCCCAACAAAUUAUUUUAUUCAUCACAAUAGGAUCUACAUUUCAAAAAAACAGGAGCACGUAUAGAACUGAAAUAUUUAUUCAGCGUAUAGACAAUGCUUGGUAUGCAUAUGGAUAGCCAAUCCAAAAAUUCCAUAGCCAAUUCAGGUAUGUUCUGCCAACAGACUGAGAACCAAACUUUGGUGUAUCACAGAAUCACCUGUAAAGCCUGUUAAAACUCCAUACGCCUGGCCCCAGGCACUAACCACGUCUUGACUGUAGUUCAGUAUGUGUCCAACAGAUGUCUUCACGCUUCUAUCCAUCAAAGGAAAGGCACUCCAGUAAACAAUACAAAAUCUAACAAUAAGUCACGUAACAAUGUAAUUUCAGUACAAACAGAAAAUACAAUGCUUAAUUUAAUUUUUGUUUUUCUUCUUUGGCUUUUAUUUGGGGGAAUUAUUUACCUGCUAUCUACAGAAUCAUGUUCAUAAACAAAAUGGAAAACUAAUCACAAAUGUUCCUGGAUAUGAAUGCCAUUUUAAUGUUACUGUAUUUCAUCAAAUCUAAGAUGCCACUGAUUGUAAGGUAAACCACUGUUUAAUGUGCUGGAAAGAAAAGAAGGAAAUGCCUCCAAAUAAACCAUGACCCAAGCUUCUA